GUGUGGUGAUCCAUGGCAUUGCAGACCGAUCCAGUUUGUGGUCAACACUCCCACCGUGUGGUGAUCCGCUGCACUGCAGGUCCAUCUGAUAUUUGGACAAAGUAUUAGUUUGACUCUGGUCUGGCAGCAUCUCUGUAGAACGUAGACAGGAGUAUCUUUUUGUCCACACUUACUGCAUUGCACCGCAUACUGCACAGUGAGGAAUUUCUUUAGUCGGAGGGCGGUGAAUCUGUAGAAUUCACUGCUACAGGGCACUGUGGAGGCUAUCGAUGGAUAUUUUUAAGGUGGAGAUAGAUUCUUUAUUAGCAAAUGUGUUGAACGUAAUGGGGUCUGAAUGAUGGCCUCGUCCCGAAACGUCACCUGUUCCUUCUCGCCAGAGAUGCUGCCUGAGCCACUGAGAUACUCCAGGUCGUUGUCUCACCAUACAUUUGGGUGCAUCUGCAUUGUUACAAUACAUUUCUUCAGUACUCUCGGUUCUAUUCUCGUCCUUGCCGCACCUUGGCUCUGCUCUUGGCAUUUCCACCCUGACUCGGCAAUUUAUGACUGAAGAUCUGGGUGGUUGAGUUUUGCCAGGUAUUUUUAACCACCUGGACACCACUGAAUGUUUGUUUAUGUAUAACGUUUCAAUGUCCACGUGUAGAGUACUGCAUCGGGCAACAAGGUUGGGAGAACACUUGUGAAAUUUAAUGUGUAUUUGAUGGGAUAACUGGGGUGUUGCUGUGCUUAUAAAUUGCAUGUCAGUGCUGGAGCAACUCGAUAGGUCCAGCAACAUCUCUGGAGAAUAUGGAUUGGUAAUUCUGGCUUGGGCCACUUCAGACCCUUAAGAAUUUUAGUCUAAAUGUAUUGGACUACUUCAAUAUUGGUCCAACCUGUAUGAGUCCUGACUGCAGAGGCACAAUGGUCCUGGUUGGAGAUACAUCUCUAGGCAUUGUCCACAUGUCCAAGUGUUUUUACCUUGAGGACUAGGAUCUUCUCACCCAGGACUGUCCGACCCACUGAGUUACUCCAGCACUUUGUCUAAUUGUAGAGAAGGAUGUUGGAACAUUUCAAACAUUCAAAUGUUAUGUUUGUUUGAUUUUUCAGCAUCAAGUCUUCCUGGAUUUGUUCUUUAUGGAUGUCAUAGGAAGAUAAGGAGCUCGCAGUCUGGUAGAGACCGAUGUCGGGAAGCUCCAAAGAACGCAAAAGGUUCGACUAGACCCCGAGUGAGCUGGGAUUCAACCCCCUGAUGCAGGACCCCCGACACGGACGGCCCGACCGCCGGCUACGGGAGUCAAGAUCGUGCCGUCAACGGAAGGCCCGAGGCCCCAGACCGCAGGAGGCCAAAGAAGGGAAGAGUUUGAACUUUGUGUUCUGUUGCUUUUUAUUGGUAUGAGUGUCUGGUAAAUUAAAUUCCUCGUGUUGCAAAGCAUACUUGUUUUACACGAGCCACCCCAUGUUUGAAUCAUGAGUGUAUAUAUACAGUGCUGGAGGAACUUGGUGGGUUUGACAACCCCCUGAAGGAUUGGACAGAUGACUAAUCGGGUCAGGAGCUCUCGGUCUGAAAUACGGGGGAGAGCUGGAAAUGAGGUGGGGGUUGGGCACUGCCUGACAAGUGAUGGGUGGAUUACAGGUGAGUGGGUGAUGGGCAAAUGGAUGGAGUAAGUGCCAAAGGCUGAAGGUGAACGUGAUAAAACGUGUUGGAUAAGGACAAGAACUGAAAUGUAAAACUAGGGUGAGGUGGGGUUGGAAGGUAAAAGGGAAAUAUGGGACGGUUGAGAGAUGAGCAUACUUCCCUUCAUUAACCAAAUAACCAUAACCAUAACCAAAUAACCAUAACCAAAUAACCAUAACCAAAUAACCAUAACCAAAUAACCAUAACCAAAUAACCGUAACCAAAUAACCGUAACCAUAUAACCGUAACUAAAUACCACCAAAUAGGAAUAACUAAGUAAUAACAACUAACUAGUCCUUUCUUGUACGCUCAUUUCUCAAACAGUUCCAUAUUCCCUCUAUCCCUUCCACCCAUCUCUCCUAGUUUCAUAUUUCCGUUCUCUCCUUAUUUGGCAUGUUGUCUCUUUCACCUUGAGCCUUUGGCACUCACUCCAUCCAUAUGCUCAUCACGCCUCACAUGUACCACCUAUUUCCUUGCUGGCUUUGUCCUGCAUGCCUCUGCCUCUUUUCACUCUCUUUCAUCAGUCUGAGGAAGGUUGCUGACCUGAGGUGUCAUCUGUCCAUUCCACUUGCAGUCAGGCAGAUUGUACCUGAACUGCUGAAUGCCUCCAGCACUUUGUCUUUGAACAGAGCCAUGUUCACCGGUUGUAGUUGGCUUCUGUUACAGGGAAAGUAUAGUUUAAUAUUUUUGACUGAAGCUCUGGGUGGUUGGGUUUUUCCAGGUAUUUUUAACCAACUGAAUGUUUGUUUAUAUCUAACGUUUAAAUGUCCACUUGAAGAGUGAGGCAUCGGGCAACAAUGUUGGGAGAACACUUGUGAAAUAUAAUGGGUAUUUGAUGUAACUGGUGUUGCUGUGCUUGUAAAUUGUGUCAGUGCGGGAGCAACUCGAUGGGUGCAGCAAUAUCGCUGGAGAACAUGGAUUGGUAAUUCCGGGUUGGGACUCUUCAGACCUUAAUCUCUUAAAGUAAUCUAAAUAUAUAGGACUACCUUAAUAUUGGUCCAACCUGCAGGAGUCCUGACUGCAGAGACACAAUGGUCCUGGUUGGAGAUACAUCUCCAGGCAUUGUCCACAUGUCCAAGUGUUUUUACCUUGAGGACUAGAAUCUUCUCACCCAGGACUGUCUAACCAACUGAGUUACUCCCGCACUUUGUCUAAUUGUAAAGAAGGACGUUGGAACAUUUCAAACAUUAAAAUGUUAAUUUGAUUUUUCAGCAUCAAUUCUUCCUGGAUUUGGUCUUUAUGGAUGUCAUAGGAGAUAAGCUCGCAGUCUCUGGUAGAGACCGAUGUCGGGAAGCUCCAAAGAACGCAAAAGGUUCGACUAGACCCCGAGUGAGCUGGGAUUCAACCCCCCCGAUGCAGGACCCCCGACACGGAUGGCCCGACCGCCUGCUACGGGAGUCAAGAUCAUCCCAUCAACGGAAGGCCCGAGGCCCCAGACCGCAGGAGGCCAAAGAAGGGAAGAGUUUGAACUUUGUGUUCUGUUGCUUUUUAUUGGUAUGAGUGUCUGGUAAAUUAAAUUCCUCGUGUUGCAAAGCAUACUUGUUUUACACGAGCCACCUCGUGUUUGAAUCAUGAGUGUAUAUAUACAGUGCUGGAGGAACUUGGUGGGUUUGACAACCCCCUGAAGGAUUGGACAGAUGACUAAUCGGGUCAGGAGCUCUCGGUCUGAAAUACGGGGGAGAGCUGGAAAUGAGGUGGGGGUUGGGCACUGCCUGACAAGUGAUGGGUGGAUUACAGGUGAGUGGGUGAUGGGCAAAUGGAUGGAGUAUGUGCCAAAGGCUGAAGGUGAACGUGAUAAAACUUGUUGGAUAAGGACAAGAACUGAAAUGUAAAACUAGGGUGAGGUGGGGUUGGAAGGUAAAAGGGAAAUAUGGGACGGUUCAGAGAUGAGCAUACUUCCCUUCAUUAACCAACUAACCAUAACCAACUAACCAUAACCAACUAACCAUAACCAACUAACCAUAACCAACUAGUCCUUUCUUGUACGCUCAUUUCUCAAACAGUUCCAUAUUCCCUCUAUCCCUUCCACCCAUCUCUCCUAGUUUCAUAUUUCCGUUCUCUCCUUAUUUGGCAUGUUGUCUCUUUCACCUUGAGCCUUUGGCACUCACUCCAUCCAUAUGCUCAUCACGCCUCACAUGUACCACCUAUUUCCUUGCUGGCUUUGUCCUGCAUGCCUCUGCCUCUUUUCACUCUCUUUCAUCAGUCUGAGGAAGGUUGCUGACCUGAGGUGUCAUCUGUCCAUUCCACUUGCAGUCAGGCAGAUUGUACCUGAACUGCUGAAUGCCUCCAGCACUUUGUCUUUGAACAGAGCCAUGUUCACCGGUUGUAGUUGGCUUCUGUUACAGGGAAAGUAUAGUUUAAUAUUUUUGACUGAAGCUCUGGGUGGUUGGGUUUUUCCAGGUAUUUUUAACCAACUGAAUGUUUGUUUAUAUCUAACGUUUAAAUGUCCACUUGAAGAGUGAGGCAUCGGGCAACAAUGUUGGGAGAACACUUGUGAAAUAUAAUGGGUAUUUGAUGUAACUGGUGUUGCUGUGCUUGUAAAUUGUGUCAGUGCGGGAGCAACUCGAUGGGUGCAGCAAUAUCGCUGGAGAACAUGGAUUGGUAAUUCCGGGUUGGGACUCUUCAGACCUUAAUCUCUUAAAGUAAUCUAAAUAUAUAGGACUACCUUAAUAUUGGUCCAACCUGCAGGAGUCCUGACUGCAGAGACACAAUGGUCCUGGUUGGAGAUACAUCUCCAGGCAUUGUCCACAUGUCCAAGUGUUUUUACCUUGAGGACUAGAAUCUUCUCACCCAGGACUGUCUAACCAACUGAGUUACUCCCGCACUUUGUCUAAUUGUAAAGAAGGACGUUGGAACAUUUCAAACAUUAAAAUGUUAAUUUGAUUUUUCAGCAUCAAUUCUUCCUGGAUUUGGUCUUUAUGGAUGUCAUAGGAGAUAAGGUAUGUAUUUCUAACUAUCUGCAGUUUAAUGGGAUAAAUGUGUUCAAUUAUUGAUGGCUUUUCCAAAUUUGUUUCUUCAACAUCGAGAAGCUCGCAGUCUCUGGUAGAGACCGAUGUCGGGAAGCUCCAAAGAACGCAAAAGGUUCGACUAGACCCCGAGUGAGCUGGGAUUCAACCCCCCCGAUGCAGGACCCCCGACACGGAUGGCCCGACCGCCUGCUACGGGAGUCAAGAUCAUCCCAUCAACGGAAGGCCCGAGGCCCCAGACCGCAGGAGGCCAAAGAAGGGAAGAGUUUGAACUUUGUGUUCUGUUGCUUUUUAUUGGUAUGAGUGUCUGGUAAAUUAAAUUCCUCGUGUUGCAAAGCAUACUUGUUUUACACGAGCCACCCCAUGUUUGAAUCAUGAGUGUAUAUAUACAGUGCUGGAGGAACUUGGUGGGUUUGACAACCCCCUGAAGGAUUGGACAGAUGACUAAUCGGGUCAGGAGCUCUCGGUCUGAAAUACGGGGGAGAGCUGGAAAUGAGGUGGGGGUUGGGCACUGCCUGACAAGUGAUGGGUGGAUUACAGGUGAGUGGGUGAUGGGCAAAUGGAUGGAGUAUGUGCCAAAGGCUGAAGGUGAACGUGAUAAAACUUGUUGGAUAAGGACAAGAACUGAAAUGUAAAACUAGGGUGAGGUGGGGUUGGAAGGUAAAAGGGAAAUAUGGGACGGUUCAGAGAUGAGCAUACUUCCCUUCAUU